rnacentral:lncRNA from 1 species
UUAUUUCACCUUAUGCACUUUAUUCUUUUUUUUCCUUUUCCAUUCUUCAUCUCCUUUUUCUUUUUUUCUUUUUUUCUUUUUUUGAUCAAUGAGUUGAAGGUUAAUAAGUUAGCAUUGAUUAGGGAGACUUAAUCUUCCUUGAUUCAAAUAUAAUUCAUCUUGAUCAAUUGAUCAAGUGAAUGGCUUUGCAUUAAGGAUAGGUUGUUUCCUAAAUCAUGCAAAAGACUUAAACCAAUACAAGAUCAAUUCUCUUCUUCUUUUUGGCAUGGCAAGUUAUGGAGCUUGGUUCACUAAUCAAGACUUCUAACUUGUGUUGUUGCCUACAUUAUUAUUGACCGGCCUCAGAUAGUUGUGACUUCUACAUAAGUUCAAUUACGAUUGCUUAACAUAGCGCUAAAUUUUGCCUUAUGGCACACUAACUACUAACUAUUGACCACUAACGAUUAACAUUUACUUUUUGCAUUUUACUUUUAUGCAAUUUACUAUUCUUGCACAUAUUAUCCAUUUGCUUUUCCCUUUGCUCACUUGAGCACAUGUUUAUGUUAAUGUCAUUU